rnacentral:lncRNA from 1 species
CCGUUCUCCUCACUCUCCAGCUUCAGCGGUGCCCACGUUUACGCAUUUGUGAAGAAAAGGCUCACCUCCACUGAAGCUGGCCGUGGCAUCGUGAUACAACUCCACUGGGCUCCACCGUUGAAUGGGAACAAGCGACGUCAACUUUCUCCGAACGUGCAUCAUGAAACCUCUACCGAGAAACAUGCACGCCGAAUUUCACGUCAACCGCCGGAAACUUCGAGUCAAGAACCUACAGCGCAGCUAUGACCAAGCAGCAGGAGUCUAUUAUUUGGACGACGACGCCUACACCGUUAAACAUUACUCUGCCCUAGCUGUCGUGGAAAAUCAAGGCGGCAUUGUUUUUUAAGAAUAA